rnacentral:snoRNA from 1 species
UGAACCAAUGAUGAGAAUGUGUCAUUAACCAAGGUUUAUGAUUAAUCUAAAUCUGUAUACCUGAGGUCCACA